rnacentral:rRNA from 1 species
AGAAACCAACAGGGAUUGCCCCAGUAACGGCGAGUGAAGCGGCAACAGCUCAAAUUUGAAAUCUGGUCCCUAGGGCCCGAGUUGUAAUUUGUAGAGGAUGCUUUUGGUGAGGUGCCGCCCGAGUUCCCUGGAACGGGACGCCACAGAGGGUGAGAGCCCCGUCUGGCUGGCCGCCGAGCCUCUGUAAAGCUCCUUCGACGAGUCGAGUAGUUUGGGAAUGCUGCUCAAAAUGGGAGGUAUAUGUCUUCUAAAGCUAAAUAUUGGCCAGAGACCGAUAGCGCACAAGUAGAGUGAUCGAAAGAUGAAAAGCACCUUGAAAAGAGGGUUAAAUAGUACGUGAAAUUGUUGAAAGGGAAGCGCUUGUGACCAGACUUGGGCGCGGCGGAUCAUCCGGGGUUCUCUCCGGUGCACUUCGCCGCGUCUAGGCCAGCAUCAGUUCGUCGCGGGGGAAAAAGGCUUCGGGAACGUGGCUCCUCCGGGAGUGUUAUAGCCCGUUGCAUAAUACCCUGCGGUGGACUGAGGACCGCGCAUCUGCAAGGAUGCUGGCGUAAUGGUCACCAGCGACCCGUCUUGAAACACGGACCAAGGAGUCGUCUUCGUAUGCGAGUGUUCGGGUGUCAAACCCCUACGCGUAAUGAAAGUGAACGCAGGUGAGAGCUUCGGCGCAUCAUCGACCGAUCCUGAUGUUCUCGGAUGGAUUUGAGUAAGAGCAUACGGGGCCGGACCCGAAAGAAGGUGAACUAUGCCUGUAUAGGGUGAAGCCAGAGGAAACUCUGGUGGAGGCUCGCAGCGGUUCUGACGUGCAAAUCGAUCGUCAAAUAUGGGCAUGGGGGCGAAAGACUAAUCGA